GAUGAACGCUGGCGGCGUGCCUAAUACAUGCAAGUCGAGCGAACAGACGAGGAGCUUGCUCCUCUGACGUUAGCGGCGGACGGGUGAGUAACACGUGGAUAACCUACCUAUCAGACUGGGAUAACUUCGGGAAACCGGAGCUACUACCGGAUAAUAUAUUGAACCGCAUGGUUCAAUCGUGAAAUACGGUUUUGCUGUCACUUAUAGAUUGAUCCGCGCCGCAUUAGCUAGUUGGUAAGGUAACGGCUUACCAAGGCGACGAUGCGUAGCCGACCUGAGAGGGAGGACGGAUAGACGGGAACAGAGAAACGGUCGAGACACUGAGGCGAGGAAGCAGUAGGGAAUCUUCCGCGAUGGGGGAAUGGCUGACGGAGCAACGCCGCGGGAGUGAUGAAGGUCUUCGGAUCGUAAAACUCUGUUAUUAGGGAAGAACAAAAGUGUAAGUAACUAUGAACGUCAUGACGGUACCUAAUCAGAAAGCCACGGCUAACUACGUG
rnacentral:rRNA from 1 species